CCCUACGGGGUGCAGCAGGCCCUGGAGGAUGGCGAAGUGGAUGCCGCCUUCAUCCUGGCCCCCAUCGCCAUGGACGCGUUCGGCGGCGGUGCUCCCAUCCGGCUCGCGCUGCUCGCGCACAAGAACGGCAGCAUUUGCGUGCGGAAGCGUCGGCCCGCAUCGAGCGGUUCGCUCAGGCAGUUCUUCCGCGGCAAGACGUUUUACAUCCCGCCCACCCUCUCGAUCCACCACAUGCUGUCGCACAUGUUCAUGUGGGAGAUCGGCCUGAAGCCCGGCGUGGCGGGCGAGGAGGGCGUGGACGUCAAAUUCGAGGUCGUGCCUCCGGUCAAGAUGAUAGAAUUUCGUGCGGGCAACCCCGACGCCUGCGGCUUCAUGGUGGCGGAGCCCCUGGGGACCAAGGCCAUCGCGGAGGGCGUCGCGGAUCUCCUUUUCCUGUCGGGGGAGC
rnacentral:rRNA from 1 species